rnacentral:rRNA from 1 species
AGAGUUUGAUUAGGGCUCAGAUUGAACGCUGGCGGCAGGCCUAACACAUGCAAGUCGAACGGUAGCACAGAGAGCUUGCUCUCGGGUGACGAGUGGCGGACGGGUGAGUAAUGUCUGGGAAACUGCCCGAUGGAGGGGGAUAACUACUGGAAACGGUAGCUAAUACCGCAUAACGUCGCAAGACCAAAGAGGGGGACCUUAGGGCCUCUUGCCAUCGGAUGUGCCCAGAUGGGAUUAGCUUGUAGGUGAGGUAACGGCUCACCUAGGCGACGAUCCCUAGCUGGUCUGAGAGGAUGACCAGCCACACUGGAACUGAGACACGGUCCAGACUCCUACGGGAGGCAGCAGUGGGGAAUAUUGCACAAUGGGCGCAAGCCUGAUGCAGCCAUGCCGCGUGUAUGAAGAAGGCCUUCGGGUUGUAAAGUACUUUCAGCGGGGAGGAAGGGAGUGAGGUUAAUAACCUCAUUCAUUGACGUUACCCGCAGAAGAAGCACCGGCUAACUCCGUGCCAGCAGCCGCGGUAAUACGGAGGGUGCAAGCGUUAAUCGGAAUUACUGGGCGUAAAGCGCACGCAGGCGGUCUGUCAAGUCGGAUGUGAAAUCCCCGGGCUCAACCUGGGAACUGCAUUCGAAACUGGCAGGCUGGAGUCUUGUAGAGGGGGGUAGAAUUCCAGGGUGUAGC